rnacentral:misc_RNA from 1 species
GAUGAAGAACGCAGCGAAAUGCGAUAAGUAAUGUGAAUUGCAGAAUUCAGUGAAUCAUCGAAUCUUUGAACGCACCUUGCACCCUUUGGAAUUCCAAAGGGUAUGCUCGUUUGAGUGUCAUUGUACUCUCACACUUCCGAUCUUUGGAUUGGGAGCGGUGGACUUGGGUGUUGCUGCUUACUGUGGCUCACCUCAAAUCGAUUCGUGCACCUCUUGGUUGGACAUAGUACGGCGUGAUAAGUGUCUUCGCCGGCACCUCAGUAGAGGGUGGCUGAUCGGGAGCUCUGCUUCAAACCGUCCUCGGACAACAACUGACAACUUGACCUCAAAUCGAGUAGGACUACCCGCUGAACUUAAGCAUAUCAAUAAGCGGAGGA